UACAGAGGUCUCAAGCGUUUGUUCGGAUUCAUUGGGCGUAAAGGGUGCGUAGGCGGCGCGGUAAGUCGGGGUGUGAAAUCUCGGGGCUUAACUCCGAAACUGCAUUCGAUACUGCCGUGCUUGAGGACUGGAGAGGAGACUGGAAUUUACGGUGUAGCGGUGGAAUGCGUAGAUAUCGUAAGGAAGACCAGUGGCGAAGGCGGGUCUCUGGACAGUUCCUGACGCUGAGGCACGAAGGCCAGGGGAGCAAACGGG
rnacentral:rRNA from 1 species